rnacentral:tRNA from 1 species
AAGGGACUAGUCUAGCAAAGACCUCUGAUUUCGGCUCAGAAAAUUAUGGUUAAAAUCCAUAGUCCCUCU